GGCUGGUCUCAAACUCCUGACCUCGUGAUCCACCUGCCUUGGCCUCCCAAAGUGUUGGGAUUACAGGCGUGAGCCACCACACCCAGCCUCCAAAUAUGAUUUAAGUUAACCUUUUACCAAAACUCCAGCCAGAGGUAACCUGUAGGUAUUAUGGUUUGAACUAGCAGAGGUCCUGAGACCAUCUAACUGUUGGGUCUAUUUCUUGGGGACAGCAGCUACCAAGGGGGUGCCAGCUGGAAACAGUGACACAGAGGGGGGCCAGCCUGGUCGGAAACGACGCUGGGGAGCCAGCACAGCCACUACACAGAAGAAACCUUCCAUCAGUAUCACCACUGAAUCACUAAAGGUGAGGUGGGAGGAGCCAGGGAAGGGAGGAUGAGACCUGUUAAGGUGGGAGUAGACAUGGGCCCAGUGUAACGGGGUGGGGGGUAUCUGUGUCCCAGAGCCUCAUCCCCGACAUCAAACCCCUGGCGGGGCAGGAGGCUGUUGUGGAUCUUCAUGCUGAUGACUCUCGCAUCUCUGAGGAUGAGACAGAGCGUAAUGGCGAUGAUGGGACCCAUGACAAAGGGCUGAAAAUAUGCCGGACAGUCACUCAGGUAGUACCUGCAGAGGGCCAGGAGAAUGGGCAGAGGGAAGAAGAGGAAGAAGAGAAGGAACCUGAAGCAGAACCUCCUGUACCUCCCCAGGUGUCAGUAGAGGUGGCCUUGCCCCCACCUGCAGAGCAUGAAGUAAAGAAAGGUGA
rnacentral:sRNA from 1 species